UGUCCAGUAGCACUUUAGAGACCAACUAAGUUUGUUCUUGGUAUAAGCUUUCGUGUGCAUCUGAAGUAUCUGAAGAAGUGUAUCUGAAGAAGUAUGCAUGCACAGGAAAGCUUAUACCAAGAACAAACUUAGCUGGUCUCUAAGGUGCUACUGGACA